AGAGUUUGAUCAUGGCUCAGAUUGAACGCUGGCGGCAUGCCUUACACAUGCAAGUCGAACGGCAGCGCGGGGCAACCUGGCGGCGAGUGGCGAACGGGUGAGUAAUAUAUCGGAACGUGCCCUGGAGUGGGGGAUAACGUAGCGAAAGUUACGCUAAUACCGCAUACGAUCUACGGAUGAAAGGGGGGGAUCGCAAGACC
rnacentral:rRNA from 1 species